UACGGAGGGUGCAAGCGUUAUCCGGAUUCACUGGGUUUAAAGGGCGCGUAGGCGGCACGGCAAGUCAGGAGUGAAAGCCCGGGGCUCAACCCCGGAAUGUCUUUUGAAACUGCCGAGCUAGAGUGCGGAAGAGGCAACUGGAAUUCCCAGUGUAGCGGUGAAAUGCGUAGAUAUUGGGAAGAACACCUGAGGCGAAGGCGGGUUGCUGGGCCGACACUGACGCUGAGGCGCGAAAGCCAGGGGAGCGAACGGG
rnacentral:rRNA from 1 species